rnacentral:rRNA from 1 species
AGCCAGUCCCAUAGGUGUGGAACCCAUUUGAGCGAGAAUAGUACUAGGAUGGGUGACCUCCUAGGAAGUCCUCGUGAAAGGGUUU